UACGUAGGGUGCAAGCGUUGUCCGGAAUUAUUGGGCGUAAAGAGCUCGUAGGCGGCUGUCACGUCGACUGUGAAAACCCGGGGCUCAACUCCGGGCCUGCAGUCGAUACGGGCUGGCUUGAGUGCGGUAGGGGAGACUGGAAUUCCUGGUGUAGCGGUGAAAUGCGCAGAUAUCAGGAGGAACACCGGUGGCGAAGGCGGGUCUCUGGGCCGUAACUGACGCUGAGGAGCGAAAGCGUGGGGAGCGAACAGG
rnacentral:rRNA from 1 species